rnacentral:rRNA from 1 species
GAUGAACGCUAGCGGCAGGCCUAACACAUGCAAGUCGAGGGAGAGGUUACCUUCGGGUACCCAAAACCGGCGCACGGGUGCGUAACGCGUAUACAAUCUGCCUUUCACAUAGGGAUAGCCCGAAGAAAUUUGGAUUAAUACCUAAUGGUAUAUAAGAGCGGCAUCGUUUUUAUAUUAAAGCUACGGUGGUAAAGAUGAGUAUGCGUUCUAUUAGCUAGUUGGAGAGGUAACGGCUCCCCAAGGCGACGAUAGAUAGGGGUUCUGAGAGGGAUGUCCCCCACACUGGUACUGAGAUACGGACCAGACUCCUACGGGAGGCAGCAGUGAGGAAUAUUGGACAAUGGUCGGAAGACUGAUCCAGCCAUGCCGCGUGCAGGAUGAAGGUCCUAUGGAUUGUAAACUGCUUUUGUAAGGGAAGAAUAAGGAGUACGUGUACUUUGAUGACGGUACCUUACGAAUAAGCAUCGGCUAACUCCGUG